rnacentral:rRNA from 1 species
GACGAAGGUGGCGAGCGUUGUUCGGAAUCACUGGGCAUAAAGCGCACGUAGGCGGCGGCGCAAGUCGGGUGUGAAAGCCCUCAGCUCAACUGAGGAAGUGCGCCCGAAACUGCAUGGCUUGAGUACCGGAGAGGAUGGUGGAAUUCCCCAAGUAGAGGUGAAAUUCGUAGAUAUGGGGAGGAACACCGGUGGCGAAGGCGACCAUCUGGACGGAUACUGACGCUGAGACGCGAAAGCGUGGGUAGCAAACAGG